CUCGGGUUCCCCGGCCGACCCCGCCCUGACCGGCUGCGCGCGCGCCUGCCGCCCGCAGAUUUCUUCGCCAAGCGCAAGAGACCCGCGCCCGAGGCCAAGGCGUCGAACGAGGUCCCCGCGGGAUGCGCCGCCCCUGGCGCCGCUCCGGCCGUGGGCUCGGCGGAGCAGACCCCGCGCAAGCGGCUGCGAUGAGCCUCGCGCCCAAAGAGCCCCGAGGGAGCCCGCUGGGCAGCGGACAGGACAGGAGCGCUGGGCCUCGGCUGGGACCGUCCAUGUAGCAGCAACCGGCCGGCAGCUGCCACCGAGCAGCGUUCGGUUUUAUGUUUAAAAUUUAAAAAAAAAAAAAACAACUGUGCAAUGUAUUAAUAACGUCUUUUAUAUCUAAAUGUAUUCUGCACGAGGAGUACACUGGUCCCAAGGUGUAAAGCUUUAAGAGUCAUUUAUAUAAAGUGUUUAAUCUCUGCUGAAACUCAGUGCAAAAAAAAAAAAAAAAUGAAAAAAGAAAAAAAAAAGGAAAAAAGAAAAAACAUGUAUAUUUGUACAAAAAGUUUUUAAAGUUAUACUAACUUAUAUUUUCUAUUUAUGCCGAGGCGCGGGCCGCUUUGCCGCGCGAUAGCUCGGUUACUGGCUCCGCCAAAGGCACGUCACCCGCAUCUGGUUAUCGACAAAUGUAAAUUUAUUUUUAUAGCGGACUCUGGGGGGGGAGGGGUCGCUCACAAGCUGUAGCUGCCGAACAAGCCCAGCUAGUUAGCAUUUCUCUUCGCGCUUUCUCUGUCUCUUUUAUUAUUAUGGCUAUUUUAAACUGGAAGACAAAUCUGUUAACAUGGUUCCUGAGCCGUCUGCAGCACUGCCCCGGCCCCUCGUCCGCCGGGUUCCAAAUAAAGAGGCCGAAAAACGCGCAGGUCA